UCUCCUGUAGCUCAGUGGUAGAGCUUCCGACCGGUGUGCGGAAGGUCACAGGUUCGACUCCUUGGAAAAAAA
rnacentral:tRNA from 1 species